CCCCCGGUAGCUCAGUGGUCAGCGCGAUCAGACUGUCAAUCCUAAGGGCCCGGGUUCGAUUCCCGGCUGGGUCGGA